AAGCAGCCACCACAGGGUGGAGUGGUGUAGAGGCCUCACCACAGACAGGGGAAACAUGGGCACAGCACAUGGUGCUGUUCAAGAGGUCUUGACAAGAACUCAAAAAUCAAAUCAGCACGGCUACCAGUGUCAGGAAAACGAGGUCUUCUUCUCGAAGGCUGAUCCACCAAACCUAAUAUAUCAGCAGCAUAACCACAGCACGCCCAGACUGCAU